CAUUAGCAUGGCUCCUGCGCAAGGAUGACAAGCAAAUUCAUGAAGCGUUCCAUAUUAAA
ensembl:snRNA U6 U6 spliceosomal RNA